rnacentral:rRNA from 1 species
CACGUAGGCACCAAGCGUUGUCCGGAUUUAUUGGGCGUAAAGAGCUCGUAGGCGGUUCAGUAAGUCGGGUGUGAAAACUCUGGGCUCAACCCAGAGAGGCCACUCGAUACUGCUGUGACUUGAGUACGGUAGGGGAGCGGGGAAUUCCUGGUGUAGCGGUGAAAUGCGCAGAUAUCAGGAGGAACACCGGUGGCGAAGGCGCUGCUCUGGGCCGAAACUGACGCUGAGGAGCGAAAGCGUGGGUAGCAAACAGG